UUUUAAUUUUUUAAAAUAUAGUUUAACCUAAUCCUGCAUGGACUUAUAAAUCUUAUGUUAAUGCAUCUUAGGAUACAUGCAAAACAGAUCUUAUAAUAUCACUAUCAUUUAUUAUUUAAUUAGAUAAUGGGAGUGUGCUGUGUUCAUAAUUGUAAUAAAACAUAUAAAAUAGAAUCUAAUACACAUAUUUCUUAUCAUAAGUAUAUAUAUUAUUUUUUAUAUGCAACAUAUUUAUUACAUAAAGCAUUAAUAAGCUACAAACAUUGAAAAAAAAUCCUUAUUUAGUAAAAAUAUAAAGUUUUCUCAUUUUUAUUGCUAGGACAAAUAAUGCUUCUUCCUAUUGAGUUGAUAAGAUUUCUAUUUUGAACUUUGCCUAAAUAUUUUUCUGGAUAAAAUAUUAAGUUAGCCAUUUUAAAAUACAUAUUUACUAUGAUACAGUUUCAUUUUAAAUAUUUGUAAGAAAUAUGUAAACCAUAUAUAUAUUAAUAGAGGCUCUGCCAAUCAACAAAUUUUCACUGAUUCAAUACUAUAUUACUAAUAACCGAUCUGAUAUUUAUAUUGAUUUUUAUAUACUAUCUAUCUUUGUAUCAAUGUCAUAAAUAUAUCUUAUAUUUUACUCAUUAUUAUUCACCUAUUUUUAAAUAUAGAUUUCCAUUAAAAUCCAAAGAAUUAUUGGAAAAAUGGUUACAGGCUAUAAAUAGAAAAAAUUUUAUGCCUAAUAAAUAUAGUAUAAUGGGGGGGUUAGUGAUUCCUUCAUCUAGUAUGUCUAUAUUAUGCCGAAUUUGUGAAAGUUCAUUUAGAACUUAUCAAAAUGAUAUUAAACGUAAAAAUAUUAUUAAAAAAAUGGAAGUGUUGGUUUUUUCCACAAUAAUUGGUACAAAUAUUUUUAUUGAUCUUACUGAACAUAUUAAUGAACAUGAGAUUGGUUACAGCCAUUUUCAAAUUCUUGUAAAAUUAAUUGUUCAAAGAUAUUUAAAUAUUAGAUUUUUCCAUUUUGCUGACUUGAGAAACCAGGAAUUGAUAACUGGUAUGAGGCAAAAUCUUACAAAAGCAAUACAAUUUAAUAAUCAUUAAGUCAUGUGAUGAUAGAAUCAAAAAG